GACGAACCGUACAAACGUUAUUCGGAAUCACUGGGCUUAAAGGGUGCGCAGGUGGCGGCGCGCGUGGGGGGUGAAAUCGCCCGGCUUAACUGGGCGGGGGCCUUCCAGACGGCGUGGCUUGAGCAGCGGAGGGGGACGUGGAAUUCCGGGUGGAGCGGUGAAAUGCGUAGAUAUCGAGAGGAACACCAGUGGCGAAGGCGGCCGGCUGGGGGUGACCUGACGCUGAGGCACGAAAGCGUGGGGAGCAAACAGG
rnacentral:rRNA from 1 species